rnacentral:rRNA from 1 species
CAGUGCUGCAUGGCUGUCGUCAGCUCGUGUCGUGAGAUGUUGGGUUAAGUCCCGCACGAGCGCAACCCUUGCCUUUAGUUGCCAGCAGUUCGGCUGGGCACUCUAAAGGGACUGCCGGGUGUUAAACCGGAGGAAGGUGGGGAUGACGUCAAGUCCUCAUGGCCUUUAUGACCAGGGCUACACACGUACUACAAUGGCCGAUACAAAGGGCAGCGACACUGCGAGGUGAAGCCAAUCCCGUAAAAUCGGUCUCAGUCCGGAUUGGAGUCUGCAACUCGACUCCAUGAAGUUGGAAUCGCUAGUAAUCGUGGAUCAGCAUGCCACGGUGAAUACGUUCCCGGGCCUU